AGUCGAGCGGAGAGGGAGCUUGCUCCUGGAUUCAGCGGCGGAGGAGAGUGUGCCUAGGAAUCUGCCUGGUAGUGGGGGACAAAGUCCGGAAACGGGCGCUAAUACCGCAUACGUCCUGAGGGAGAAAGUGGGGGAUCUUCGGACCUCACGCUAUCAGAUGAGCCUAGGUCGGAUUAGCUAGUUGGUGGGGUAAAGGCCUACCAAGGCGACGAUCCGUAACUGGUCUGAGAGGAUGAUCAGUCACACUGGAACAGAGACACGGUCCAGACUCCUACGGGAGGCAGCAGUGGGGAAUAUUGGACAAUGGGCGAAAGCCUGAUCCAGCCAUGCCGCGUGUGUGAAGAAGGUCUUCGGAUUGUAAAGCACUUUAAGUUGGGAGGAAGGGCAGUAAGUUAAUACCUUGCUGUUUUGACGUUACCAACAGAAUAAGCACCGGGCUAACUUCGUGCCAGCAGCCGCGGUAAUACGAAGGGUGCAAGCGUUAAUCGGAAUUACUGGGCGUAAAGCGCGCGUAGGUGUUCAGCAAGUGGAUGUAAAUCCCCCGGCUCAACCUGGGAACUGCAUCCAAAACUACUGAGUUGAGUACGGUAGAGGGUGGUGGAAUUUCCUGUGUAGCGGUGAAAUGCGUAGAUAUAGGAAGGAACACCAGUGGCGAAGGCACCACCUGGACUGAUACUGACACUGAGGUGCGAAAGCGUGGGGACAAACAGGAUUAGAUACCUGGUAGUCCACGCCGUAAACGAUGUCGACUAGCCGUUGGGAUCCUUGAGAUCUUAGUGGCGCAGCUAACGCGAUAAGUCGACCGCCUGGGGAGUACGGCCGCAAGGUUAAAACUCAAAUGAAUUGACGGGGGCCCGCACAAGCGGUGGAGCAUGUGGUUUAAUUCGAAGCAACGCGAAGAACCUUACCUGGCCUUGACAUGCUGAGAACUUUCCAGAGAUGGAUUGGUGCCUUCGGGAACUCAGACACAGGUGCUGCAUGGCUGUCGUCAGCUCGUGUCGUGAGAUGUUGGGUUAAGUCCCGUAACGAGCGCAACCCUUGUCCUUAGUUACCAGCACCUCGGGUGGGCACUCUAAGGAGACUGCCGGUGACAAACCGGAGGAAGGUGGGGAUGACGUCAAGUCAUCAUGGCCCUUACGGCCAGGGCUACACACGUGCUACAAUGGUCGGUACAAAGGGUUGCCAAGCCGCGAGGUGGAGCUAAUCCCAUAAAACCGAUCGUAGUCCGGAUCGCAGUCUGCAACUCGACUGCGUGAAGUCGGAAUCGCUAGUAAUCGUGAAUCAGAAUGUCACGGUGAAUACGUUCCCGGGCCUUGUACACACCGCCCGUCCCUCCUGGGAGUGGGUUGCUCCAGAAGUAGCUAGUCUAACCGCAAGGG
rnacentral:rRNA from 1 species